rnacentral:rRNA from 1 species
CCUACGGGGGGCUGCAGUGGGGAAUAUUGCACAAUGGGGGAAACCCGAAUGCACCACCCCCGCGUGAGCAAUGAAGGCCUUCGGGUGGUAAGGCCUUUCCCUAAGGGAAAAAUACUGCGGGUACCUAGGGAGGAGCCCCCGGUAACCAACGGCCCGGCAGCGGCGGUAUUACGUGGGGGGCUGAGUUUAUCCGGAAUUCUGGGCGGUAAAGGGUGGGUAGGGGGCCCUUCAAGUAAGAGGUGAAAGGUUACGGCUCAACCGUAGUAAGCCUUUGAAACUGUAGGGCUUGAGUGCAGGAGAGGAGAGUGGAAUUCCCAGUGUAGCGGUGAAAUGCGCAGAUAUUGGGAGGAACACCAGUUGCGAAGGCGGCUCUCUGGACUGUAACUGACGCUGAGGCACGAAAGCGUGGGGAGCGAACAGGAUUAGAUACCCUAGUAGUC